rnacentral:rRNA from 1 species
AUUGAACGCUGGCGGCAGGCUUAACACAUGCAAGUCGAGCGGAGAUGAGGUGCUUGCACCUUAUCUUAGCGGCGGACGGGUGAGUAAUGCUUAGGAAUCUGCCUAUUAGUGGGGGACAACAUUCCGAAAGGAAUGCUAAUACCGCAUACGUCCUACGGGAGAAAGCAGGGGAUCUUCGGACCUUGCGCUAAUAGAUGAGCCUAAGUCGGAUUAGCUAGUUGGUGGGGUAAAGGCCUACCAAGGCGACGAUCUGUAGCGGGUCUGAGAGGAUGGUCCGCCACACUGGGACUGAGACACGGCCCUGACUCCUACGGGAGGCAGCAGUGGGGAAUAUUGGACAAUGGGGGGAACCCUGAUCCAGCCAUGCCGCGUGUGUGAAGAAGGCCUUAUGGUUGUAAAGCACUUUAAGCGAGGAGGAGGCUACUGAGAUUAAUACUCUUGGAUAGUGGACGUUACUCGCAGAAUAAGCACCGGCUAACUCUGUGCCAGCAGCCGCCGUAAGAC